rnacentral:tRNA from 1 species
CGGGGCGUAGCUCAGUUUGGUAGAGCACCCGUUUUGGGGGCGGGAAGUCGCAGGUUCGAAUCCUGUCGCCCCGA